AACGAACGCUGGCGGCAUGCCUAACACAUGCAAGUCGAACGAGACCUUCGGGUCUAGUGGCGCACGGGUGCGUAACGCGUGGGAACCUGCCCUUAGGUUCGGAAUAACUCCCCGAAAGGGGUGCUAAUACCGGAUAAUGUCUUCGGACCAAAGAUUUAUCGCCUUUGGAUGGGCCCGCGUUGGAUUAGCUAGUUGGUAGGGUAAAAGCCUACCAAGGCGACGAUCCAUAGCUGGUCUAAGAGGAUGAUCAGCCACACUGGGACUGAGACACGGCCCAGACUCCUACGGGAGGCAGCAGUGGGGAAUAUUGGACAAUGGGCGAAAGCCUGAUCCAGCAAUGCCGCGUGAGUGAUGAAGGCCUUAGGGUUGUAAAGCUCUUUUACCCGGGAUGAUAAAGACAGUACCGGGAGAAUAAGCUCCGGCUAACUCCGUG
rnacentral:rRNA from 1 species